GUUUAAUUACCCUCUAACUCGCAGUGCAGCCUUUGGUUUCUACUGAGCCAGGCUGAAACUCAUCUUUCCUCCAAAAGAUAAGGAGUAUCUGAUAAGUAUCUGGGGACGGACAUGACUCAACGCCAAAGAAGCCAGCUUUACUUUACAGCCGUUCAAAAGGUUAAACAGAACUGCCGGUCGUCCCAACACCCGCCACCACGUUCUGCGCUGGCUGAAGGCUGGGUGCUCCAGCAGACCGCUAACUGAACCGAAGGCCUGUCCCCCGGCAUUGUCGCCACCCUCCUCUUGGCACAAUGGUCCUGUUGUUCUGCAUACCCUGGUGGUUUUCCACAAGGCAUCUGUAGCUUCUUCC
ensembl:lncRNA